rnacentral:lncRNA from 1 species
CACUCAGCUGACAUUGUGGACAUCUCAAGACAGUCACUGGACAAUGGCUGACACACUUGUCUGAAGACUGGAAAUGUUUCUCGAUCUUGGAGAGGAAAGAAGGACCCUCCAACUACACUGAACUCUAAGGAAGUUUAUUCAGCUGCUGAGCAUUGAAAAGCCCUAAUGAGACAGCAUCUGUUUGCAGACAUACUGGAUUAUUCUUCUUCACUUUAUCUCUCUGAGUCACCUCCACUCACAGUGAUCGUGUCCAUCUAGUACAGCACAUGCCCUGGAAGGACAAAAGCUACCUACAGGAGCUGUGGUGAUGACUCCCAGGUUAGAGCAUCUGCUGCUCUCUCAGAAGAACCACAUGGUCCCUAACAAUCAUCUACAAUGGGGAAUGCUAUUCCCUCUUUUGGAUCAUGAGGGAAAUGCACUCAGGAGUGGCCCAGACAUACAUUUGAAAAAAAAAGAUCCAUUGAGUUAAAUGAUAAAAAUAAAUAUAAUCAGCAACAAUAAAAAACACAGCAUAUGAAUGAUCAAGUGAAACAGCACCUAUAAAAACCUAUUUCCCAAAAUGACGUUGAUGGUCAUUAUCUUUGUGGUUUAAUACUAAUGCUGUAUUGUAAGAAAAACUGAGGCACAUGGUUCUCGAUUAGGAUUAUUCUAUAUUCCUUUGUGAAAGUUGUCAUUUUUUCUGCAGCUCUACAGGCAUGAGUGUGUGUUACUCAAUAUCUGGUGCACACAGUCAAUAAGGAAUGUGUGUUGUAGACUGAUAUAGACUAGGAUGAGCAGAACACAUGACAGCAUGGAUACAGUAUGUCAGUGAUUACAUCAUAAAGUGUGUGUCCAUAAAAAAAGUCACAUUAUCCAC